AUGAACGCUAGCUACAGGCUUAACACAUGCAAGUCGAGGGGCAGCAUUUCAGUUUGCUUGCAAACUGGAGAUGGCGACCGGCGCACGGGUGAGUAACACGUAUCCAACCUGCCGAUAACUCGGGGAUAGCCUUUCGAAAGAAAGAUUAAUACCCGAUGGUAUAAUCAGACCGCAUGGUCUUGUUAUUAAAGAAUUUCGGUUAUCGAUGGGGAUGCGUUCCAUUAGGCAGUUGGUGAGGUAACGGCUCACCAAACCUUCGAUGGAUAGGGGUUCUGAGAGGAAGGUCCCCCACAUUGGAACUGAGACACGGUCCAAACUCCUACGGGAGGCAGCAGUGAGGAAUAUUGGUCAAUGGGCGCAGGCCUGAACCAGCCAAGUAGCGUGAAGGAUGACUGCCCUAUGGGUUGUAAACUUCUUUUAUAUGGGAAUAAAGUUUUCCACGUGUGGAAUUUUGUAUGUACCAUAUGAAUAAGGAUCGGCUAACUCCGUGCCAGCAGCCGCGGUAAUACGGAGGAUCCGAGCGUUAUCCGGAUUUAUUGGGUUUAAAGGGAGCGUAGGUGGACAGUUAAGUCAGUUGUGAAAGUUUGCGGCUCAACCGUAAAAUUGCAGUUGAUACUGGCUGUCUUGAGUACAGUAGAGGUGGGCGGAAUUCGUGGUGUAGCGGUGAAAUGCUUAGAUAUCACGAAGAACUCCGAUUGCGAAGGCAGCUCACUGGACUGCAACUGACACUGAUGCUCGAAAGUGUGGGUAUCAAACAGGAUUAGAUACCCUGGUAGUCCACACAGUAAACGAUGAAUACUCGCUGUUUGCGAUAUACAGUAAGCGGCCAAGCGAAAGCAUUAAGUAUUCCACCUGGGGAGUACGCCGGCAACGGUGAAACUCAAAGGAAUUGACGGGGGCCCGCACAAGCGGAGGAACAUGUGGUUUAAUUCGAUGAUACGCGAGGAACCUUACCCGGGCUUAAAUUGCAUUUGAAUAUAUUGGAAACAGUAUAGCCGUAAGGCAAAUGUGAAGGUGCUGCAUGGUUGUCGUCAGCUCGUGCCGUGAGGUGUCGGCUUAAGUGCCAUAACGAGCGCAACCCUUAUCUUUAGUUACUAACAGGUCAUGCUGAGGACUCUAGAGAGACUGCCGUCGUAAGAUGUGAGGAAGGUGGGGAUGACGUCAAAUCAGCACGGCCCUUACGUCCGGGGCUACACACGUGUUACAAUGGGGGGUACAGAAGGCAGCUACCUGGUGACAGGAUGCUGAUCCCAAAAGCCUCUCUCAGUUCGGAUCGAAGUCUGCAACCCGACUUCGUGAAGCUGGAUUCGCUAGUAAUCGCGCAUCAGCCAUGGCGCGGUGAAUACGUUCCCGGGCCUUGUACACACCGCCCGUCAAGCCAUGAAAGCCGGGGGUACCUGAAGUACGUAACCGCAAGGAGCGUCCUAGGGUAAAACUGGUAAUUGGGGCU
rnacentral:rRNA from 1 species